rnacentral:lncRNA from 1 species
GAUGAUCGAUUUCAGUGAAUCGACUGUGGAUUCCAUAAUUGAAAACAAAAAAGAGAAUAAGGCUCAGAUUGAUAAAUUCAUCAGGAUGUAGCCAUCAUCGUCGAUUGUUGCAUUGUCAUAAACUCUAACUUCAACAAAAUUGAAAAGAGAAGGCAUUCAUCAGAAAGAAAUGUCCAGUAAUCCAAAGACUGCAACCAUUGGUGCUCUCUACUGUGAAAUGAAAACGUGAAAAAAAAAUCAUUGAUUAAAUGAACAGAAAGGAAUCUGAAAACCAUAUAUAUGUAAGUACCAAACAACCGACGGAGUCUGUGGUAAAGGUGGUGUUACUGGAGAUUGCGGCAGAUGAAAUCGAAGAAGAAAUGCGGAAGCCGGCAGAUAGCAAGGAUGUUGGAAGUGAGAGGAGGCAAUGGAGGUCAGAACGCGAGCAAGGAAACAUACCUAGAGCAAGUAGAAAAUGGGCCAGUC